rnacentral:rRNA from 1 species
UGGGGAAUUUUGGACAAUGGGCGAAAGCCUGAUCCAGCAAUGCCGCGUGUGUGAAGAAGGCCUUCGGGUUGUAAAGCACUUUUGUCCGGAAAGAAAUCCCUGGCUCUAAUACAGUCGGGGGAUGACGGUACCGGAAGAAUAAGCACCGGCUAACUACGUGCCAGCAGCCGCGGUAAUACGUAGGGUGCAAGCGUUAAUCGGAAUUACUGGGCGUAAAGCGUGCGCAGGCGGUUUGCUAAGACCGAUGUGAAAUCCCCGGGCUCAACCUGGGAACUGCAUUGGUGACUGGCAGGCUAGAGUAUGGCAGAGGGGGGUAGAAUUCCACGUNUAGCAGUGAAAUGCGUAGAGAUGUGGAGGAAUACCGAUGGCGAAGGCAGCCCCCUGGGCCAAUACUGACGCUCAUGCACGAAAGCGUGGGGAGCAAACAGGAUUAGAUACCCUGGUAGUCCCACGCCCUAAACGAUGUCAACUAGUUGUUGGGGAUUCAUUUCCUUAGUAACGUAGCUAACGCGUGAAGUUGAUCCGCCUGGGGAGUACGGUCGCAAGAUUAAAACUCAAAGGAAUUGACGGGGUCAUAGCUGUUUCCU